CCCUCGGCGGCGGUCGCGGCGGUGGCUAUGAAUGUAGUGCCCUGGUCAGCGCAUGAAGACAUCAAUUGUUCUCAGGCGUCGGUAUCGCGCUGUCGUAGGUGGACGUGUGUGUGUCUUGUGCUUCUUGUUUCAUGCUAAUUACCACAUGGAGGUAGAACCCCUGUAGCUGACCAGAAAGGCCUGGACUGUCAAAUGCCAUACAUGAAUUGGUUCAAGUUCUUCAAACAGAGCUGACCCAGCAGAAGGCCUCUGGUGGCAUACUGUAAUCAAGUGCGCCACUCCCACAGGAUUAUUGCAUUCAUGCCUGAAUGCUGUCCAGGGCAUCCCACAGGCCCCAGCUGUGUGACGAUGCCCCACCCCACGGAUUGUCUUAUGCCAACAGCGUCCUCCCGUAGGGAACUAUGGACACUAGAAGAUUGGCUGUGGACAUGCUAAGGAAUCCUUCAGUAGCUUCAUGGUGCACUGGAGAAGAAACAGCAGACCUGGAUGAAGUAAACAAACGGCCCUUAUCAGGGCCACCAUAUGUCUGCCACAAUGGCUAGCGUUCUGCUGAUAGAACAAACCCUGAUGGUGAUAGAAGAUCACUAAACUAACCAUAACUCAAGCACGAUGGCUACAACAGUGCUGAUAGAAACUCCUGUUAUUCAUUCGCACAGAAAAUAUGAAGCAGAAAAUGUAGAGGUUGUUGCGAGAGACCUGUACUAUGUCUGUUCUAUGUCUUUUGCAAAAGCUACCACCGUUUCUCGACAAAAGUGACGUGGAGGAUGUACUGGACGUCUCCAUUUUUCCCCUUUCUCUCUGUACUGUAAAGGUAGUUCUUUUUGUGUAGUCCAAUAAUACGAGAAUUUGAAAAAAGGUCUUUGGGUGUACUUGACAUAAUUGUGUGCCAGUCUAUAUCAUU